UACGAAGGGGGCUAGCGUUGCUCGGAAUCACUGGGCGUAAAGGGUGCGUAGGCGGGUAGGAAAGUCAGUGGUGAAAUCUUCGGGCUUAACCCGGAAACUGCCAUUGAUACUAUUUAUCUUGAAUACUUUGGAGGUAAGCGGAAUAUGUCAUGUAGCGGUGAAAUGCUUAGAUAUGACAUAGAACACCAAUUGCGAAGGCAGCUUACUACACAGUUAUUGACACUGAGGCACGAAAGCGUGGGGAUCAAACAGG
rnacentral:rRNA from 1 species